AAAAGAUUUAUCGGUGUGAGAUGGACCCGCGUCUGAUUAGCCAGUUGGCAGGGUAACGGCCUACCAAAGCGACGAUCAGUAGCCGGCCUGAGAGGGUGAACGGCCACAUUGGGACUGAGACACGGCCCAAACUCCUACGGGAGGCAGCAGUGGGGAAUAUUGCACAAUGGGGGAAACCCUGAUGCAGCGACGCCGCGUGAGUGAGGAAGUAUUUCGGUAUGUAAAGCUCUAUCAGCAGGGAAGAAAAUGACGGUACCUGACUAAGAAGCCCCGGCUAACUACGUGCCAGCAGCCGCGGUAAUACGUAGGGGGCAAGCGUUAUCCGGAUUUACUGGGUGUAAGGGGAGCGUAGACGGUGAUGCAAGUCAGAAGUGAAAGCCCGGGGCUCAACUCCGGGACUGCUUUUGAAACUGUGUAACUGGAGUGCAGGAGAGGUAAGCGGAAUUCCUAGUGUAGCGGUGAAAUGCGUAGAUAUUAGGAGGAACACCAGUGGCGAAGGCGGCUUACUGGACUGUAACUGACGUUGAGGCUCGAAAGCGUGGGGAGCAAACAGGAUUAGAUACCCUGGUAGUCCACGCCGUAAACGAUGAAGAUUAGGUGUCGGGGGACAAAGUUCUUCG
rnacentral:rRNA from 1 species